rnacentral:rRNA from 1 species
CAGCCGCCGCGGUAAAACGUAGGUGGCAAGCGUUGUCCGGAAUUAUUGGGCGUAAAGGGCUCGCAGGCGGUUUCUUAAGUCUGAUGUGAAAGCCCCCGGCUCAACCGGGGAGGGUCAUUGGAAACUGGGAAACUUGAGUGCAGAAGAGGAGAGUGGAAUUCCACGUGUAGCGGUGAAAUGCGUAGAGAUGUGGAGGAACACCAAUGGCGAAAGCGACUCUCUGGUCUGUAACUGGCGCUGAGGAGCGAAAGCGUGGGGAGCGAACAGGAUUAGAUACCCCUGUAGUCCCUGUCUCUUAUAC